CCUACGGGAGGCAGCAGUGGGGAAUUUUGGACAAUGGGCGCAAGCCUGAUCCAGCAAUGCCGCGUGAGUGAAGAAGGCCUUCGGGUUGUAAAGCUCUUUUGUCAGGGAAGAAACGGUGGAGGUUAAUACCUUCUGCUAAUGACGGUACCUGAAGAAUAAGCACCGGCUAACUACGUGCCAGCAGCCGCGGUAAUACGUAGGGUGCAAGCGUUAAUCGGAAUUACUGGGCGUAAAGCGUGCGCAGGCGGUUGUGCAAGACAGAUGUGAAAUCCCCGGGCUCAACCUGGGAAUUGCAUUUGUGACUGUACGGCUAGAGUGUGUCAGAGGGGGGUAGAAUUCCACGUGUAGCAGUGAAAUGCGUAGAGAUGUGGAGGAAUACCGAUGGCGAAGGCAGCCCCCUGGGAUAACACUGACGCUCAUGCACGAAAGCGUGGGGAGCAAACAGGAUUAGAUACCCUGGUAGUCCACGCCCUAAACGAUNUCUACUAGUUGUCGGUUCGUUUAUUGUACGUUAGGUUAACGUACGAGACGUAACGACGUGAAGUAAGACCGCCGUCGGGGUAGGUACGGUUCGACGAAGAAGUUAAACGUUAACGAAGUUAGAGUUAGACGGACGUUGAGACGAGCGACGGACGACGACGAGGGAGGAGG
rnacentral:rRNA from 1 species